GACGAACCGGACAAACGUUAUUCGGAAUCACUGGGCUUAAAGGGUGCGUAGGCGGCGCGGCAAGUUGGGUGUGAAAUCCCUCGGCUCAACCGAGGAAUAGCGCCCAAAACUGCCGUGCUCGAGGGAGACAGAGGUGAGUGGAACUUAGGGUGGAGCGGUGAAAUGCGUUGAGAUCCUAAGGAACUCCGGUGGCGAAAGCGACUCACUGGGUCUCUGCUGACGCUGAGGCACGAAAGAUAGGGGAGCGAACGGG
rnacentral:rRNA from 1 species